rnacentral:rRNA from 1 species
GUGCAGGACGAAGCCGUUGUUGUAAUAAACUGCUUUUGUACGGAACGAAAAAGCCUCGGUUAAUACCCGGGGUCCAUGACGGUACCGUAAGAAUAAGCACCGGCUAACUACGUGCCAGCAGCCGCGGUAAUACGUAGGGUGCGAGCGUUAAUCGGAAUUACUGGGCGUAAAGCGUGCGCAGGCGGCUAUAUAAGACAGAUGUGAAAUCCCCGGGCUCAACCUGGGAACUGCAUUUGUGACUGUAUAGCUAGAGUGCGGCAGAGGGGGAUGGAAUACCGCGUGUAGCAGUGAAAUGCGUAGAUAUGCGGAGGAACACCGAUGGCGAAGGCAAUCCCCUGGGCCUGCACUGACGCUCAUGCACGACAAGCGUGGGGAGCAAACAGGAUUAGAUACCCUGGUAGUCCACGCCCUAAACGACGUCAACUGGUUCGUUGGGUCUUCACUGACUCAGUAACCGAAGCUAACGCGUGAAGUUGACCGCCUGGGGAGUAC